CGUCAAGUCAUCAUGGCCCUUAUGCCCAGGGCUACACACGUGCUACAAUGGGCGGAACAGAGGGAAGCGAACUCGCGAGGGGGAGCGAAUCCCUGAAAACCGUCCUUAGUUCGGAUUGGAGUCUGAAACUCGACUCCAUGAAGCCGGAAUCGCUAGUAAUCGCGCAUCAGAAUGGCGCGGUGAAUACGUUCCCGGGCCUU
rnacentral:rRNA from 1 species